rnacentral:rRNA from 1 species
AAUCUGGCGCAAGCCCGAGUUGUAAUUUGUAGAGGAUGCUUCUGGGUAGCGGCCGGUCUAAGUUCCUUGGAACAGGACGUCAUAGAGGGUGAGAAUCCCGUAUGUGACUGGCUUGCACCCUCCACGUAGCUCCUUCGACGAGUCGAGUUGUUUGGGAAUGCAGCUCUAAAUGGGAGGUAAAUUUCUUCUAAAGCUAAAUACCGGCCAGAGACCGAUAGCGCACAAGUAGAGUGAUCGAAAGAUGAAAAGCACUUUGGAAAGAGAGUUAAAAAGCACGUGAAAUUGUUGAAAGGGAAGCGCCCGCAACCAGACUUUGCGGCAGUGUUCGGCCGGUCUUCUGACCGGUUUACUCGCUGUCGUGAGGCCAUCAUCGUCUGGGACCGCUGGAUAAGACCUUAGGAAUGUAGCUUCCCUCGGGAAGUGUUAUAGCCUCUGGUGAUGCAGCGCGUCUCGGGCGAGGUCCGCGCUUCGGCAAGGAUGAUGGCGUAAUGGUUGUCGGCGGCCCGUCUUGAAACACGGACCAAGGAGUCUAACAUCUAUGCGAGUGUUCGGGUGUCAAAACCCCUACGCGUAAUGAAAGUGAACGGAGGUGGGAACUUUUUGUGCACCAUCGACCGAUCCUGAUGUCCUCGGAUGGAUUUGAGUAAGAGCAUAGCUGUUGGGACCCGAAAGAUGGUGAAACUAUGCCUGAAUAGGGUGAAGCCAGAGGAAACUCU